ACUCUCAUGGUGUUUGUGGCUUAAAUACUCAGCUUACCUGGUCGAAGUAGAGCUGUGAUACUGGGCGUGAAGACUUCUUUAGAGAGAGUCGCCUUGGUCCCAGGCUGCAGACAGGACAGGAAGCCCCGACCUCUUCCCGCUUGAACCUUGUGUUUGAGGCGACAGGUGACUCAGGUGACAGGUGACAAGGCGGGAACAUCCACAAGGAGAACAGGCCAAGGUGGUUAUUCCUCCACAACACCGUCCUGAAGACACGGUCGCUUGCAGACCUCAGAUCAGACCAUGGUCUCCGAUGAAGAAUCUUCUGCCUCAUCUUUAUCUAACGUCGCGAAAAGGACAGCUUCAUACAUGGCUGACGGUGGAGGAGUUGGCUGUGAUUGGUUUUUCUCCUGUGAUGAACACAGUGUAUGGUCUACCACAUUUUCAAAAUAACAGGAAACUCAUUCCACUGAUGAAAAACUGCUUCAAAGCUCCUGUACUUUGAUGACACCUUGUAAUAUUAGCGCUCGCCUCGUUUGCUGAACUUCAGUUCAGCGUGGCACUUUUUUCCAAAGGAGAUACCACUUGCCCCCAGUGCUUGCUGCUUUUCUGCGAUUAGUUCAGGUACUAGAACCCUCCAGGCAGAUACUUUGCCUGAAGGGUUUGUUAAGAGCAGGCUUUUGUGGCUUUGUUGUUAAUUAGGUUGCUUGUUUUGUGUACUGGUGAAAAUAACACUUGAAUUGUUUGCAUCCAUGUCUGUUUGCUGCCACUCUAGAUACACAAGUGUUCGACUACGUCUAUUUACUGAGAAGUAGUAAGUGUUCAUUUGAAAAAUAGGGAAGUGUAAUCAACUCGGUGGAAAACUUAAUGAAAUAGUCCAUUAAUAAUAAGUAACCAAUGAUAUAUAAAUGUAAAUGUUAUGGUAGUAUAAAGACAGAUAAUAAAUUAACUAGCAGUACCAACUAUUACUGUGCUGUGCCCUCUAGUGGCCAAAGAGAUGUACACUGUGUCAUUAGUUUGAUUCAAUUGAAGGUGGUGAUUUAAAAGGUCCCGAAUCAAAGAAAGAUGAGAACAAUCCAAACAAUAGUUAAAUUCAGCUGCUGGUCUUAACUCUGCAGUACUGCGUCAGUUACAGCAGCAAUAUUUGGUAGCUUUAAAGUUUGUCAAAUCCUGUUAUAAAAUUUGCAGAAAACAAACAAUUAAAAAAACUCUUCUUCAGGCUGCUUUUGUGAAGGAAAUGUUUAUAGUGAAGGACGUGCUUUAGCUAAUGUUGUAGUUUCCAACAGUUCCCAUUAAAUCUCACUAAAGAGUCAAAAUUUACUGAUUGCACCUUUAAAGGAGUUAUUUGUAAGUUUUGCUAUUGCUACAUAGCUAACAUUAGCAUUAGCAGCUGCUUACUUACCAGUCUGGAGGAAACGUGGUGAGUUCAGCAUCAAACUUCCUUCCUUUGUUCACCAACAUCUGUCUCCAGAGGUGGAAAACAAACACCAAUGUUAACUCUUGUCUCUGUCACGUCUUUUUUUCUACUGACGUAAGCAUGCUAACCAGCUAGCCCCGGCCCGUCUUGUCACUUUCUGACAGCGAUUCACUGUAGCUUCCAGUCUGUCCUGAACACGUAGCUGCACAGAGGACGUAUUAUAACUUCUUUUCUUGUAAACGCAACGAUGGCUGAAGCUCUUCUCAAGCUACAAUCACCACCACCCGCUGCCAGCAGCAAACCAUAUUCAUCGACAGAAAGAAUAUACAGAUAUCCCCUUAAGUGGCGCCUCCAUUUUGGUUUAGGGUUUUAAGGCUUUAACCUCAGAGAGUUCAGCCCUGUGACCACUGAGUACAGCUUUACCCAACACCUGGUGGUAUUACACUGAGAGCAAUUUAUUUACUCAAAAUUAAUUUGUCCUGAAUCGGUGACUCAUUGGACGUCCUGUUCGUUUAGAGCUACUACUGUGUAACAAUGAUGUUCAGGAUUUAAAUCUGAGCUUGGA